GGGCAGGCGUUGUAGGGUGCUAAUACCUUCCGUACACGUAACCGACUCUCGAACCCAAUCUUUGGUUUUCGUGGACCGUGCCUCUUCUUUAUGGUUUUGUCCAUAGUUUUCCAGAAUAAUCUAUGGUGGCGACUCUAAAAACUUUUUCAACAUCGUUUUCUUUUUGGAUGUCGUCCCGUCGCGAUUCCGGUUGCCACAGAUACGCC
rnacentral:lncRNA from 1 species